rnacentral:rRNA from 1 species
GAUCCUGACCCAGGAUGAACGCUAGCUACAGGCUUAACACAUGCAAGUCGAGGGGCAGCAUGGUCUUAGCUUGCUAAGGCUGAUGGCGACCGGCGCACGGGUGAGUAACACGUAUCCAACCUGCCGUCUACUCUUGGCCAGCCUUCUGAAAGGAAGAUUAAUCCAGGAUGGGAUCAUGAGUUCACAUGUCCGCAUGAUUAAAGGUAUUUUCCGGUAGACGAUGGGGAUGCG